UACGGAGGGUGCAAGCGUUAUCCGGAUUCACUGGGUUUAAAGGGUGCGUAGGUGGGUUAUUAAGUCAGUGGUGAAAUCUCCGGGCUCAACUCGGAAACUGCCAUUGAUACUAAUAGUCUUGAAUAUCGUGGAGGUAAGCGGAAUAUGUCAUGUAGCGGUGAAAUGCUUAGAUAUGACAUAGAACACCAAUUGCGAAGGCAGCUUACUACCCGAAUAUUGACACUGAGGCACGAAAGCGUGGGGAUCAAACAGG
rnacentral:rRNA from 1 species